rnacentral:rRNA from 1 species
CCUACGGGGAGCAGCAGUCGAGAAUCAUUCACAAUGGGGGAAACCCUGAUGGUGCGACGCCGCGUGGGGGAAUGAAGGUCUUCGGAUUGUAAACCCCUGUCAUGUGGGAGCAAAUUAAAAAGAUAGUACCACAAGAGGAAGAGACGGCUAACUCUGUGCCAGCAGCCGCGGUAAUACAGAGGUCUCAAGCGUUGUUCGGAAUCACUGGGCGUAAAGCGUGCGUAGGCUGUUUCGUAAGUCGUGUGUGAAAGGCGCGGGCUCAACCCGCGGACGGCACAUGAUACUGCGAGACUAGAGUAAGGGAGGGGGAACCGGAAUGCUCGGUGUAGCAGUGAAAUGCGUAGAUAUCGAGAGGAACACUCGUGGCGAAGGCGGGUUCCUGGACAUUAACUGACGCUGAGGCACGAAGGCCAGGGGAGCGAAAGGGAUUAGAUACCCCAGUAGUC